ACACCCACACCCACACCCACUUAUUACAAUAUACUACUAUAUAUAUCUACAUAAUUGAGGGCAACAUAGCAGAGGUGGCUCGUUCUGUCAGUAAUUCCAAAGAGUUUCUGCCAGGCAAGAAAUGGAAACUCAAGAAACUAAGAUCGUAGAGGGGAAGAAGUUUCGAUUGCCUCCAAAGAGAGGUAAGAUCAAAGAGAAGAUUUUUGGUGAAUGGAAAGAGAAGGCGAGGGAUGCAGUUGGAAUGGGAAGAGAGAAUAAAUCAGAGGGGAAAAGUAAGGGUGGAGGAGAGAGUGGAAGCCCAGCCUCAAUAACCCAUCCCUCAGAGGGAAAAAAAGUAGGAAAGACGGCAGGAAUGGAUGUCUAAUUAUUGUUUCAUGCCUGAUCUAUCUUUGUACGCCGGAUUCAAGUUUGUCUUGAAUCACUUUACUUUUUCGAUAAUCCAUCACUCAUGUAUCCAAACCAGAUUACACCCACCUCGUUUAAUUCAUGUAUAAUAUUAGUCUGUUACCAAGAUUAAUUUGUGAACUCAAAUGGGUUUUU